rnacentral:rRNA from 1 species
GCUUGCUCUUUAUGAAAGUGGCGCACGGGUGCGUAACGCGUAUGCAACCUACCUUAAUCAGGGGGAUAGCCCGAAGAAAUUCGGAUUAAGACCGCAUAAAAACACAGGAUAGCAUUAUCCAAUGUUCAAAUAUUUAUAGGAUUAAGAUGGGCAUGCGUGUCAUUAGCUAGUUGGCGGGGUAACGGCCCACCAAGGCGACGAUGACUAGGGGAUCUGAGAGGAUGACCCCCCACACUGGUACUGAGACACGGACCAGACUCCUACGGGAGGCAGCAGUAAGGAAUAUUGGUCAAUGGAGGGAACUCUGAACCAGCCAUGCCGCGUGCAGGAAGACAGCCCUCUGGGUCGUAAACUGCUUUUAUUCGGGAAUAAACCUUAUUACGUGUAAUAAGCUGAAUGUACCGAAGGAAUAAGGAUCGGCUAACUCCGUGCCAGCAGCCGCGGUAAUACGGAGGAUCCAAGCGUUAUCCGGAUUUAUUGGGUUUAAAGGGUGCGUAGGCGGCUUAUUAAGUCAGGGGUGAAAGACGGUGGCUCAACCAUCGCAGUGCCCUUGAUACUGAUGAGCUUGAAUACACUAGAGGUAGGCGGAAUGUGACAAGUAGCGGUGAAAUGCAUAGAUAUGUCACAGAACACCGAUUGCG